GCUGCAUGGUUGUCGUCAGCUCGUGCCGUGAGGUGUCGGGUUAAGUCCCAUAACGAGCGCAACCCCUACCUUUAGUUGCCAUCAGGUUAAGCUGGGGACUCUAAAGGAACUGCCUACGCAAGUAGUGAGGAAGGCGGGGAUGACGUCAAAUCAGCACGGCCCUUACGUCCAGGGCUACACACGUGCUACAAUGGCCGAUACAGAGGGCAGCUACCUGGUGACAGGAUGCAAAUCUCCAAAGUCGGUCCCAGUUCGGAUCGGAGUCUGCAACCCGACUCCGUGAAGUUGGAUUCGCUAGUAAUCGCGCAUCGGCCAUGGCGCGGUGAAUACGUUCCCGGGCCUU
rnacentral:rRNA from 1 species